CAGUCGCCACGGGAAUACGUAGGGUGCAAGCGUUAAUCGGAAUUACUGGGCGUAAAGGGAGCGCAGGCGGUUUAGUAAGUCUGAAGUUAAAGGCAUUGGCUCAACCAAUGUAUGCUUUGGAAACUGUUAGACUUGAGUGCAGAAGGGGAGAGUGGAAUUCCAUGUGUAGCGGUGAAAUGCGUAGAUAUAUGGAGGAACACCGGUGGCGAAAGCGGCUCUCUGGUCUGUCACUGACGCUGAGGCUCGAAGGCGUGGGUAGCAAACAGGAUUAGAUACCCGCGUAGUCCCUGUCUCUUAUACC
rnacentral:rRNA from 1 species